AGAGCAACAUGAAAAAUAAAAGAUCAUGCUUCUAAUCUUUGGACUUUUGUAGUUUAAAAAAAUGGCGAUAAUCUUACAACAUUUUUCAGACUCCCGUCCUAAUUGAAAAUGAUUGAUGCAUUAAGAAACACCUAUGGAAUCCAAAAAAAAAACUAACAGCAAGCCACAGUGACAUGGAUGGCUACCUUAUUGCUUUGGAAGUGAAUGGCAUGAGCCGUCCCCUAUAUGCACCAAACAGUUCCAGCCAUGCACAGCUAGCCGAGAAACAUUGGGUCAAAACAAGGGUGUUGGUACCUUGAGCAACGACACCAUCACGUUGACAAAUGCCCAACCCAAUUGCUCGUCGCCAUCCUCGGGCACCACCUGAACACACUCCUCUAGACCCAGGCGUUUCGAACGACAUCCUCCCCGCUUCCCCUGGGCGAUGGCCGACUACCGUAACUUCUCUGGAGCGAAUCCUUCCAAAGCGCUGCCGACAACAUCGUCCCUGUGGCGCUGCUCCUUCCUUUUCGUGCCUUUUGCUUCAUUGACCUCCUUCCUAUGAAGUUUUAGUAACAAGGUACAUUUCAGUAAUCAGUAAAAAAAAUUCAGAUAUUAGUACAAGAAAAAUGAGCCACUUGACAAAGUUUUAGUAGAAAUCAGAUUUUCGUACAACAAGAUAUUUUAGUACGUACUAAAAAGAAUAGUACAAGGGCAAUCAUCCGAACAAUAUCAUCAGAAGUAUGAAACUGAACCUUUAGUCGCAGAAGGUGACUACCCUUGUCAUCUCAAGAUUCAAGCCUCUCCUCUUAUCUUGUUCUCCGAGCAUGCACUAAAAACUGCAAAAAAUACAGAACAUGUACAUGUGUGAACUGAAAUAGUGGAACUCAAACAAACCUUCAUCAAUAGAUCUUUUUUGAACUAUAUGGUCAAUUAUGUACAUGGUCCUCAUAGUGAAAACUAAAAUAUUGGGUUAGCCUUUCCCAUAUCUUUUUUGAAGAAAAUCAUAAGCAUCAGCACCUACUAUGUGGAAGACAAAUCUCCCAGCUUGUUUAUGAUUCAGAAUUCAACUGCAUUCAGGCCAAUACGAAUAGCAUCUCAAGGAUCUAGGUAAAUACCUGGAACAAAACUCAAUGAAGAACCAUAACAUCAGUCAAAACUAAACAUGGAAAUUUUGAACUCACUAUUUUAUGUCAGUCCAGUAGAACGCCCGUGCGUUGCUACGGGCUACAAUGCAUAUAAAUAAAUCAAAAAAUAAUUAAAUUCUAAAGUGGAAGCUCAUUUCUUCCUCCUACGUUCAAGUGUGAACGUACAUCAAACGGACAUCUAGCAGGAUCCCCAAAAUUCAACCGUCUGGAGAAUAGGGUAUCUUCAAAUCCAUGCAUAUCCAUAUGUGAGGAAGAAAUAUGGUUAUCCAGACUAUCUGCCAUGUUAUCUCUAACAAGUGCGGGCCGAACAAAUUAAAAAAAAACCACACCCACGACGCACCCUUCUCUUUCCCUGCCGAACCCUCACCUCCCCGCUCGUUUCCCGUCAUAACGAGACAUUUUUCACUGGAGCCUUCUCCAUUGAAACCAGAUAACGCCCAUCUCACCUUCGUCAUGUCGCACUCUCUUCUUCACAUUGUAUUUCCCCACGGACCGCCGAGGAGUCCCCCGCCAACCGCCCCGCUCUCUGUUCUGUUCCCCUCCCCAUGUGUUUCUGUCGAUGGGGGGAGUUGUGCGCCACCCAUGACACCCUCCGAGCCAAGAAGGUAGAUCUGAUGUCUCCUUAGCCAUUUUCAGAUUGUAACAUAUAGUUCCCCUCCCCAGGUGUUUGUGUGGAACCAACGUCGGGAGUCAGCCGAGCGCCACCCUGGCGCUGGUUUUGGCAAUGCUCCAUGUGCCCAGAGAUUCCGCGUGAUCCACCGAUGCAGUGAAGGCAGGAGCCUCCGCCAUCAUCGUCGACCGCCUAGGCUUAGCCCGUCAGCAUCCUCCGGCGACGAAGGAGGUAACGGAGAGAGGACACGGUGACCCUGGAGGCCGGGGGUAUUGGAUCCACCCGAGUCACCGGCCACGGUGGCAACAUGGGGCCGACCUACUUUUUUUUGUAGAAGCAUAUAUUGAGAAAAAAAAGCCCAAACAAUGAAAAGGAGAAUAACAAUGAUAAUUUUCUGAGAGACCCCACUUCUUGGUGUAAGAUUUUCAUCUAAGAAAAAUAAAUACACAACAAGAAGAUGGAAGCUACCUCAAGUUAUGAAAGCCCCCAUAUUCUUGUUAGUACUGUAUAUAUGUCAUUAGGGCCUCUCGUACUGCCUUCAAGAUUAAAAAAAUAGAUCUAUACAAGAAAAGCAGAUCCUUCAAAAUUGCAAUAUCAACAAAUAUUACACCUAUGCAUUACUAAGGUCUAAGGAGUAUUAAAAUAUGAGAUUUACAGGAAACAAAUUGGAAAACUAUUGAGAUAUUUCAAAAGAGAAAACAUAUAUACAAGGGAAUAUAUUGCUUCAAUUCUCACAUUUUCAGGCCUGUCACCUCCAUCGUAAUUAUAUGUGUCUUUAUCCCUCUAGGACUACAGGAGAAAAAUGCAUAUGCACACGUUAGUGGGUACCAUGUUAACAAAAGAAAGUUCUUUCGAUUAACAAUAGCAGUACCAUGAAUGUUGUUCCACUUCUCUACAGCGCAAUGGUUGCCUGGCACUGAAAAGUCUAUCUCAUUCUUACCUGCUGAAUGGUUUCCUUUAGCUGUCGCUAUUCUUUACGGAUACCGUUGCUGGCCUAA
rnacentral:lncRNA from 1 species